rnacentral:misc_RNA from 1 species
GCCGUGUAACAAACAGCUCGUCUGAAAUGCCUUAGUGUACCCUGCUUUGCGGCGUAUUCGGUGUGAUAAAUCUUCACCGGAGUCUUGACUUUUGGGUCAGCGCUUGUACUGUUUUGGCUCUAUGCUUCAAACCGUCCCUAACAAGGACAAUACUCUGACAAUUUGACCUCAAAUCGGGUGGGACUACCCGCUGAACUUAA